UCGUCUUUUGAAAGCAUGAAUUCUACAAUGUCAGAUGAGCGUUUAUAAGCCUUAAAAGAUUUAUUCCAUCUGUAU
rnacentral:tRNA from 1 species